rnacentral:misc_RNA from 1 species
AAAAUAUUUAUUUAUUGAAGACCUUAUUCCCUUGCUUAUUCAAAACCAACAAAUUCUCAAUCUGCUUACUCAAGAACUCAAAUAUGGGUGAAUCAAGAUUUAUCAAAGCCCAAAGCUGAGUGUCUCAAACUGAAUCCUCCAUCAACUGCAAGAUUCAAUCCACUCACAAACUUAGACUCUUCACUUCCAAGAUACAAAGCCGCCUCAGCCAUAUCGUUUACAUCUAUUUUUACUCCUUUCAAGUUUGCUAUAGCUGAAUUCACUGCCUCCAACGUCUUCUCAUCCAAACCCAUAGCUCGCCCAACCGAAGGGGUGAACACAGCCGCUGGCGAAAUGCAAUUAACUCUUAUCCCAUGCUGCCCCAGUUCUACAGCCAAGUUCUUGGUUAUUCCAACAACUGCAUGCUUUGAAGCUGUGUAAGCAUGUGGAACGCCGCCGUAAAUCACCGCAGCAAGACUUGCCGUAAAUAGAAUACAGCCUUUCUUUUCUGGUAUCAUUACUCUGGCAGCAUGUUUUGCUCCCAAUAAUCCACCAUAAACGUUUAUGUCCAUAACUUUCUUGAAAUCUUCAGCUUCUGUUGAAAAUAUGCUUGGAUCGUAUUUCCCUGUGAUUCCUGCGUUGUUGAACAUUAUGUCAAGCUUUCCAUGCUUUGAAACGACUGUGUUCACCGCGUUUUCUACAUCUGAUUCUUUGGUAACAUCGCAGUGGACGUAGGAAACUGGUUGUCCAGUUUCUGACUCCAUUUUCUUCGAUACUGAGUGACCCAACUCGGAUUGGACAUCUGCAAUUACCACCUUGGCUCCAUUCCGGGCAAAGAGUCUUGCAGUGGUCUCGCCGAUUCCGCUAGCGCCGCCAGUUAUUAAGGCCGCCUUGCCUUGUAAUCUCUUAGCAAAAGAAGCAAGGGAGGAAGGGCCUGGCAUGAUCCUUGCUACUAUAUGGUAGCUAGUCUCUUGGUGAGAAA